rnacentral:rRNA from 1 species
CCUACGGGUGGCAGCAGUGAGGAAUAUUGGUCAAUGGGCGGAAGCCUGAACCAGCCAAGUAGCGUGCAGGAUGACGGCCCUACGGGUUGUAAACUGCUUUUAUACGGGAAUAACGCGCCUUACGUGUAGGGCUUUGCAUGUACCGUAUGAAUAAGGACCGGCUAAUUCCGUGCCAGCAGCCGCGGUAAUACGGAAGGUCCGGGCGUUAUCCGGAUUUAUUGGGUUUAAAGGGAGCGUAGGCGGCACGUAAAGUCUGGUGUGAAAGGCAGAGGCUCAACUUCUGUACGGCACUGGAAACUUGCGAGCUAGAAUGCGGUAGAGGUAAACGGAAUUCCUGGUGUAGCGGUGAAAUGCUUAGAUAUCAGGAGGAACAUCGGUGGCGUAAGCGCUUUACUGGGCCGUAAUUGACGCUGAGGAACGAAAGCCAGGGUAGCAAAUGGGAUUAGAUACCCCGGUAGUC